rnacentral:tRNA from 1 species
GGGGCUGUAGCUCAGCUGGGAGAGCGUCGCGCUGGCAGCGCGAAGGUCACGGGUUCGAGCCCCGUCAGCUCCA